GGGCCGUUAGCUCAGCUAGGCAGAGCAGGGGACUCUUAAUCCCAAGGUCGGAGGUUCGAUUCCUCCACGGCCCACCA
rnacentral:tRNA from 1 species